rnacentral:rRNA from 1 species
GACGAACGCUGGCGGCGUGCUUAACACAUGCAAGUCGAACGGAAAGGCCCUGCUUUUGUGGGGUGCUCGAGUGGCGAACGGGUGAGUAACACGUGAGUAACCUGCCCUUGACUUUGGGAUAACUUCAGGUAACUGGGGCUAAUACCAGAUAGUAGCUCCUUCUGCUUGGUGGGGGUUGGAAAGUUUCGGCGGUUGGGGAUGGACUCGCGGCUUAUCAGCUUGUUGGUGGGGUAGUGGCUUACCAAGGCUUUGACGGGUAGCCGGCCUGAGAGGGUGACCGGCGACAUUGGGACUGAGAUACGGCCCAGACGCCUACGGGAGGAAGCAGUGGGGAAUAUUGCACAAUGGGAGGAAGCCUGAUGCAGCAACGCCGCGUGCGGGAUGACGGCCUUCGGGUUGUAAACCGCUUUCGCCUGUGACGAAGCGGGAGUGACGGUAAUGGGUAAAGAAGCACCGGCUAACUACGUG